rnacentral:miRNA from 1 species
UUUAAGAUCGGUUACAAGAUAACCGAUCUUAAAAGUGCCACUUUUAAAAUCGGUUAUUUUGUAACCGAUCUUAAA